UCCCUGAUGGUCCAGUGGUUAGGAUGCCAUGCUCUCACUGCCGAGGGCCCGGGUUCAAUCCCUAGCCAGGGAA
rnacentral:tRNA from 1 species